rnacentral:rRNA from 1 species
ACGGGGGGGGCAAGCGUUGUUCGGAAUUACUGGGCGUAAAGGGCGCGUAGGCGGCCUGCUAAGUCGGACGUGAAAUCCCUCGGCUCAACCGAGGAACUGCGUCCGAUACUGGUGGGCUUGAAUCCGGGAGAGGGAUGUGGAAUUCCAGGUGUAGCGGUGAAAUGCGUAGAUAUCUGGAGGAACACCGGUGGCGAAGGCGGCAUCCUGGACCGAUACUGACACUGAGGCGCGAAAGCGUGGGUAGCGAACAGGA